CCUUCGGUAGCUCAGCCGGUAGAGCGGAGGACUGUAGAUUGUCGUCCAAGCCAUCCUUAGGUCGCUGGUUCGAUUCCGGCUCGAAGGA